UACGAAGGGGGCUAGCGUUGCUCGGAUUGACUGGGCGUAAAGGGCGCGUAGGCGGUUCGUUCAGUCAGACGUGAAAUUCCUGGGCUCAACCUGGGGGCUGCGUUUGAUACGUGCGGGCUUGAGUGCGGAAGAGGGUCGUGGAAUUCCCAGUGUAGAGGUGAAAUUCGUAGAUAUUGGGAAGAACACCGGUGGCGAAGGCGGCGAGCUGGUCCAUUACUGACGCUGAGGCGCGACAGCGUGGGGAGCAAACAGG
rnacentral:rRNA from 1 species